GCAUGGGCUGCGGGUCUUCCCUUGCUUAGCCGGCUGUGAGCUGAGGGGGACCUGAGCCGCGGCCCUAGAAUGGGAAACAGUGCCCUCCGCGCUCAUGUGGAAACCGCGCAGAAAACUGGUGUCUUUCAGCUUAAGGACUGUGGGCUGACUGAGUUCCCCUCAGAGUUGCAGAAGCUGACCAGCAAUCUAAGGACCAUCGACCUGUCCAACAACAAGAUUGAGAGCCUACCGCCUAUGAUUAUAGGAAAGUUCACUCUGCUGAAGAGCCUCUCCUUGAACAACAACAAACUGACUAUUCUUCCUGAGGAGUUAUGCAAUCUGAAAAAACUAGAGAUGCUAAGCCUAAACAACAAUCACUUGAGAGAGCUACCAUCUACCUUUGGGCAACUGGCAGCCCUCAAGACCCUGAGUCUCUCUGGGAACCAGCUACAAGCACUACCACCACAGCUCUGUAGCCUACGGCACUUGGAUGUGGUGAAUCUCUCCAAGAACCAGAUUCGGAGCAUACCUUACAUAGUGGGGGGAGCUGCAGGUCAUCGAACUCAAUCUCAGCCAGAACCAGAUAUCUCAGAUCUCAGUAAAGAUACCUUGCUGUCCUCGCCUUAAAGUUCUUUGCCUGGAAGAGAACUGUCUUGAGCUCAGCAUGCUGCCACAGAGCAUUCUCAGUGAUUCCCAGAUCUGUCUGCUUGCUGUGGAAGGCAACCUUUUUGAAAUAAAGAAACUUCGAGAACUGGAAGAAUAUGAUAAGUACAUGGAGAGGUUCACAGCCACUAAGAAGUUUGCAUGA